AAUCACAUUUGAGGCUCAAAGCUAUGGGUAAGCUUGCACGACAAAGUAAAGCCCUAUAACUAUCCGAAAUAGCUAGAGUAAAUGUGGCAGAUAGAUGAGGUGAAAGUGCGUGUU
rnacentral:misc_RNA from 1 species